UUGCAUGGUUGUCGUCAGCUCGUGUCGUGAGAUGUUGGGUUAAGUCCCGCAACGAGCGCAACCCUCGACCUUAGUUGCCAGCAUUCAGUUGGGCACUCUAAGGUGACUGCCGGCUAAAAGUCGGAGGAAGGUGGGGAUGACGUCAAAUCAUCAUGCCCCUUAUGACCUGGGCUACACACGUGCUACAAUGGGCGGUACAAAGGGUCGCGAACCCGCGAGGGGGAGCCAAUCCCAAAAAGCCGCUCUCAGUUCGGAUUGCAGGCUGCAACUCGCCUGCAUGAAGCCGGAAUCGCUAGUAAUCGCGGAUCAGCAUGCCGCGGUGAAUACGUUCCCGGGCCUU
rnacentral:rRNA from 1 species